rnacentral:rRNA from 1 species
AUUGAACGCUGGCGGCAGGCCUAACACAUGCAAGUCGAGCGGAUGAAGGGAGCUUGCUCCUGGAUUCAGCGGCGGACGGGUGAGUAAUGCCUAGGAAUCUGCCUGGUAGUGGGGGAUAACGUCCGGAAACGGGCGCUAAUACCGCAUACGUCCUGAGGGAGAAAGUGGGGGAUCUUCGGACCUCACGCUAUCAGAUGAGCCUAGGUCGGAUUAGCUAGUUGGAGGGGUAAAGGCCUACCAAGGCGACGAUCCGUAACUGGUCUGAGAGGAUGAUCAGUCACACUGGAACUGAGACACGGUCCAGACUCCGACGGGAGGCAGCAGUGGGGAAUAUUGGACAAUGGGCGAAAGCCUGAUCCAGCCAUGCCGCGUGUGUGAAGAAGGUCUUCGGAUUGUAAAGCACUUUAAGUUGGGAGGAAGGGCAGUAAGUUAAUACCUUGCUGUUUUGACGUUACCAACAGAAUAAGCACCGGCUAACUUCGUG